rnacentral:rRNA from 1 species
GCCUACGGGGGGCAGCAGUGGGGAAUAUUGCACAAUGGGGGAAACCCUGAUGCAGCGACGCCGCGUGAGCGAUGAAGUAUUUCGGUAUGUAAAGCUCUAUCAGCAGGGAAGAAAAUGACGGUACCUGACUAAGAAGCCCCGGCUAACUACGUGCCAGCAGCCGCGGUAAUACGUAGGGGGCAAGCGUUAUCCGGAUUUACUGGGUGUAAAGGGAGCGUAGACGGCUGUGCAAGCCAGAUGUGAAAGCCCGGGGCUCAACCCCGGGACUGCAUUUGGAACUGUGAGGCUGGAGUGUCGUAGAGGCG